GAAUGCUGACAUAAGUAACGAUAAAGCGGGUGAAAAGCCCGCUCGCCGGAAGACCAAGGGUUCCUGUCCAACGUUAAUCGGGGCAGGGUGAGUCGACCCCUAAGGCGAGGCCGAAAGGCGUAGUCGAUGGGAAACGGGUUAAUAUUCCCGUACUUGGUGUUACUGCGAAGGGGGGACGGAGAAGGCUAUGUUGGCCGGGCGACGGUUGUCCCGGUUUAAGCGUGUAGGUGUGUGUUCCAGGUAAAUCCGGUUCACUUUAACACUGAGGCGUGAUGACGAGGCACUACGGUGCUGAAGCAACAAAUGCCCUGCUUCCAGGAAAAGCCUCUAAGCAUCAGGUAACAUCAAAUCGUACCCCAAACCGACACAGGUGGUCAGGUAGAGAAUACCAAGGCGCUUGAGAGAACUCGGGUGAAGGAACUAGGCAAAAUGGUGCCGUAACUUCGGGAGAAGGCACGCUGACAUGUAGGUGAAGUGAUUUACUCAUGGAGCUGAAGUCAGUCGAAGAUACCAGCUGGCUGCAACUGUUUAUUAAAAACACAGCACUGUGCAAACACGAAAGUGGACGUAUACGGUGUGACGCCUGCCCGGUGCCGGAAGGUUAAUUGAUGGGGUCAGCGCAAGCGAAGCUCCUGAUCGAAGCCCCGGUAAACGGCGGCCGUAACUAUAACGGUCCUAAGGUAGCGAAAUUCCUUGUCGGGUAAGUUCCGACCUGCACGAAUGGCGUAAUGAUGGCCAGGCUGUCUCCACCCGAGACUCAGUGAAAUUGAACUCGCUGUGAAGAUGCAGUGUACCCGCGGCAAGACGGAAAGACCCCGUGAACCUUUACUAUAGCUUGACACUGAACAUUGAGCCUUGAUGUGUAGGAUAGGUGGGAGGCUUUGAAGUGUGGACGCCAGUCUGCAUGGAGCCGACCUUGAAAUACCACCCUUUAAUGUUUGAUGUUCUAACGUGGACCCGUAAUCCGGGUUGCGGACAGUGUCUGGUGGGUAGUUUGACUGGGGCGGUCUCCUCCUAAAGAGUAACGGAGGAGCACGAAGGUUGGCUAAUCCUGGUCGGACAUCAGGAGGUUAGUGCAAUGGCAUAAGCCAGCUUGACUGCGAGCGUGACGGCGCGAGCAGGUGCGAAAGCAGGUCAUAGUGAUCCGGUGGUUCUGAAUGGAAGGGCCAUCGCUCAACGGAUAAAAGGUACUCCGGGGAUAACAGGCUGAUACCGCCCAAGAGUUCAUAUCGACGGCGGUGUUUGGCACCUCGAUGUCGGCUCAUCACAUCCUGGGGCUGAAGUAGGUCCCAAGGGUAUGGCUGUUCGCCAUUUAAAGUGGUACGCGAGCUGGGUUUAGAACGUCGUGAGACAGUUCGGUCCCUAUCUGCCGUGGGCGCUGGAGAACUGAGGGGGGCUGCUCCUAGUACGAGAGGACCGGAGUGGACGCAUCACUGGUGUUCGGGUUGUCAUGCCAAUGGCACUGCCCGGUAGCUAAAUGCGGAAGAGAUAAGUGCUGAAAGCAUCUAAGCACGAAACUUGCCCCGA
rnacentral:rRNA from 3 species